GGUUAUCAACAUUGACCCCAACAUAGGCAUUUGGCCUAGAACUUGCAAACUGUUUCUGGAACAGGUUAUAUUACAGAUAUCAGAAUGCCAUUUUUGUAAAGGGUCUUUUUAGGGAUAGAUGUCAUCUCACGUUUCCUCCAUUCACCUCCAUUUUAAAGACGCACUUGCCCCUACAAGAAUCCAGCCGAUGCACUUCCAAAUUGUAUGGAAAUUUUGCAUCAGUUUAUCCUCUGUGAAUAUGUCUGUACAUAGAUUGAAAGCUAUAUUUAUUUGUAAAUAGGCUGUUUGGAAUAAUAUGUUUCUGUCACAUGGACUUCACUCUGAAAAAGGGCGUUUCUUCACUGUGUUCAUGUUACACUUUCCACACCUUUGUGCUUCUACUACUGGUAAUCAACUCAUAGAAUAUCUCACUUUAUGUAACUAAGUCUCCCUGGUGUGAAAAGUAAUAGAAAUAAAACUAUUGACUC
rnacentral:lncRNA from 1 species